rnacentral:rRNA from 1 species
GAUGAACGCUGUCUACAGGCUUAACACAUGCAAGUCGAGGGGAAACGCCGGGGAAGCUUGCUUCCCCGGGCGUCGACCGGCGCACGGGUGAGUAACGCGUAUCCAACCUGCCUCUGACUGAGGGAUAACCCGUCGAAAGUCGGCCUAAUACCUCAUGGCAUCGUCUGCGGGCAUCCAACGACGAUUAAAGAUUUCAUCGGUCAGGGAUGGGGAUGCGUCUGAUUAGCUUGUUGGCGGGGUAACGGCCCACCAAGGCUACGAUCAGUAGGGGUUCUGAGAGGAAGGUCCCCAAGAGUGGAACUGAGACACGGUCCAAACUCCUACGGGAGGCAGCAGUGAGGAAUAUUGGUGAAUGGGCGGGAGCCUGAACCAGCCAAGUAGCGUGCAGGAUGACGGCCCUAUGGGUUGUAAACUGCUUUUAUGCGGGGAUAAAGUGAGGGACGUGUCCUUCAUUGCAGGUACCGCAUGAAUAAGGACCGGCUAAUUCCGUG